rnacentral:misc_RNA from 1 species
GAAGAUAACGGGGUUUUGAGACUGCAUUAAUAAAUAAUGUGUGCUCGACUCUGUCACUCUUUCAUCCACACACACCUUUGUGCACUUAUGGGGACAUCUGUCUCCCUUUUAUAUCAUAAAUACCUAGUUAUAUGCAUGUUGUAAUGUACUCUAAGGAGUGAUAUAACAACUUUCAACAACGGAUCUCUUGGCUUU